AUAAUUCUUCACGUUCCAAUUCCUUCUUUUUCUCUCUGUAGAUAAACCAAAAUUUUUGUAAUCAGAAAUUAUUUCAGAACCCAAAGAGAGGUGCUGUUUGACAGCUUACUGGAGAACACAUUACUUACCCACAUUUCACUUAAAUCCCUCUGCUAAAGCUUUGGAGUCCACUUACCUGGAGCACCUAAUUUCUUCUUGUCACUCUCCUAAAUGUACUGAGUCUGUGCAUCUCCUGUACCAGCUAGACGUUACUACUUGCUUUCUGUCCCCUACACAUUAUCACUACCAUGACACUGUACUUUAUAGUCAACAAAGUACUUACACGUCAAUUUUCUCACGUAAACAUCUUGCAGUUGUAGUAGUCUAAUCAGUAUUACAAAGGCUGAAGGGGCUGGCCACUAGGUCAGUAGGAAGCACUUCCUUCACCACACCAGACAGAAGCCACAUCAUUUUUGCCACUAACAGCCACAUCUCUAGCCACUAACCAGUUUGUAUCUUACUAGCUCCUCUUUUACAUGUCAAAUGAAAACUUUAGUUUCAGUAAUCUUUCUCUAGAACAAAAUGAAGGUCAAAAUAUUUCAUAUGUCGUUUCAACUAAUUAAUUUCAGUUCUAAGGAAAACAUUUCUGAGUAACUUGAACCUGUCUAUUCUGAAAGGCUCCAUGAACAUGUAAAACAUAGGCUUAUAAUUCUGCAGUUAUGAGUUAAAAGGACAAAUCCUUUUAAAGGAUUUGCUGAUUUAUGCAGGUAAGAAAUGAUGAGUAUAUUCUUAGUCAUGUGAAAUACAUAUUUUUCAAAUACAAGUUUCCUAUGAUCCUAGUCAUCUUAUUUUCUUCCCAUUGCUUCCUGAGGCUCAAAACAUGUACUUAAUUUCUAUUCCUGCCUGAAUGCUGCUAUUUAAAGGAAAUAAUGCAUUGAGUUAGUUAUUAAUGGGCUGGAUGGCUUUGAAGAAAGGCUAUCCAUUUUCUACUUUAAGAUAACCAUAACUAGGAACUUGUCAAAAUAGAUAGCUUUUCUAAACAGAACAGGUAAUAUGCUUAUUAGAAGUAAAUGGUAACUGUUAUCCUCAAAUAAUGGGUGGGCUCAGGUACACUGGUUACUAACCACUUAAGUUUAAGAAAGUGCUUCUUGAGUUUGAAAUAAACAUAUGAGAAGAAAGUAACUCUUGAAAGAUUAUUUUAUAGUAAUUUAUGAAAUUCUCAAAAAGAGGUAAUCACUAGGCCAUGUUCCUAAAGGCUGAUACGUGCUAACAUUUAUACUCUAAAAUACAUAUUAUUGCAAGGACAACAUAUUAAUAGUACCCUAAGCCAUAUCAUUAUGUGACUUCCCUCUUCCCAAAGGAGAACUAUGCUGACUUUAAAAUACCACCUUCUGAUAAUCCACAGCGUAAGAAUUACCUACUGCUAACAAAGAACACUUGAAAAGUAAAGCUCACUCUGGAAGCCCACGUGGACAAAAAGGAUUUUCGUAAAUGCAUGGAUAAAAAAUCAAAUUGUACAAAUUGAUAUUUAAAAUUCAGCAUAAAUUAUAUUUCAUAUGCAGAUGCUAACAGACUGAGGAAAUCUAAGGCUCAGAAUGAGAUAAACAGGAUUUAUGAUCCACAUUAAAAUCAUAAUCUAACCAUUUAGAGGAAGUAAAUUAUGUAACUACCCUCAAAAAUAAAUGCUACUGCUUUUUCUGCUUUAACAAAUUUAUAAAAAUACUGGGGCUAGUUUAUCUGGAAAUGACUUAUAUGUUAAGAGACUUUCACAUUGUAAUGUUUACUAUAAGGUAAUUAACUUCUUAAAUAUGAAAAUCUGAACUGAGAGAAGAUACCUUCCUGAACUGAAUCACAUUCAACUAACAUAAAAUGUAUAGAUAAUUUUGUAAUUCAAAAUAUCAAAUACCUCUGUCUUUCAGCUUUGUAUGAGCUAGUAAGGUCAUCGAAAAGCUUGCCAUUCAUUUCCAUUAGGGUUUUCAGCACAUUGUAUACCAGUGCUACAAUGGUCCUGAAAUGAAAAUGAGCCAGUCCUGAGUUAUGAUACUGCUAACAGAGAGGAAAUGUAACACUAUGGUCUCUAAAAUGGGUUAAAGCUUGGCUGAUUUCAUUUAAUCCAUUUUAGAGAUGAUAAAACUGAGGCUCAAGAGGUUUGUAAUAUGCUCAAGGUCAUACAGCAAGUGGUGGUAGAGACAGUCUAAGAAAACUUAAAUCUUUUCCAUUUUAUCAUGCUUACAUUAAACUCUAGUUAAAAAUGUUCACUAUAGUUAUCUUCAUUUCUGCUUUACAGUCUCAUGUCUGAAAUCCUGAGUAACAACAUUAAAAGAAGAUGAAAAAGAUCCAAUUACCAAAACUUAUGAAAAGUAGAAAGCCGGAUAAGGAU
rnacentral:lncRNA from 1 species